UGAAAAUGGAGACAUGGUGUGGUAUUCAACUAAGUUUUAUUCACAGAAGACCCAUUUAAAUUAAUGAACAUGAUUAAGUUUGGUCCAUUGAUUUCAGUGUGUCUACUCUGAAUAAAAUUGAGUUGAAUACUACCCAUGUCCUCUGUUGUU